GCUUAAUUGCGAUAACGAACGAGACCUUANCNUGCUAAAUAGCCCAGGCGUGCUUUGCACGUCGCCGGCUUCUUAGAGGGACUAUCGGCUCAAGCCGAUGGAAGUUUGAGGCAAUAACAGGUCUGUGAUGCCCUUAGAUGUUCUGGGCCGCACGCGCGCUACACUGACAGAGCCAACGAGUACAAUCCUUAACCGAAAGGUUUGGGUAAUCUUGUUAAACUCUGUCGUGCUGGGGAUAGGGCAUUGCAAUUAUUGCCCUUCAACGAGGAAUACCUAGUAAGCGCAAGUCAUCAGCUUGCGUUGAUUACGUCCCUGCCCUUUGUACACACCGCCCGUCGCUACUACCGAUUGAAUGGCUCAGUGAGGCUUUCGGAUUGGCUGCAGGAGGUUGGCAACGACCACCAGCAGCCGAGAAGUUAGUCAAACUUGGUCAUUUANAGGAAGUAAAAGUCSUAACAAGGUUUCCGUARGUGAACCUGCGGAAGGAUCAUUAUUAUAAAAUCSUGGCGCACCCGCGCCGCGUGUAUAUAUCUGUGGGGG
rnacentral:rRNA from 1 species